CCUACGGGGUGCAGCAGUGGGGAAUAUUGGACAAUGGGCGAAAGCCUGAUCCAGCCAUGCCGCGUGUGUGAAGAAGGCCUUCGGGUUGUAAAGCACUUUCAGUGGGGAAGAAAGCCUUGGGGCUAAUACCCUCGAGGAAGGACAUCACCCACAGAAGAAGCACCGGCUAACUCCGUGCCAGCAGCCGCGGUAAUACGGAGGGUGCGAGCGUUAAUCGGAAUUACUGGGCGUAAAGUGCGCGUAGGCGGUCUGAUAAGCCGGUUGUGAAAGCCCCGGGCUCAACCUGGGAACGGCAUCCGGAACUGUCAGGCUAGAGUGCAGGAGAGGAAGGUAGAAUUCCCGGUGUAGCGGUGAAAUGCGUAGAGAUCGGGAGGAAUACCAGUGGCGAAGGCGGCCUUCUGGACUGACACUGACGCUGAGGUGCGAAAGCGUGGGUAGCAAACAGGAUUAGAUACCCGAGUAGUC
rnacentral:rRNA from 1 species